rnacentral:rRNA from 1 species
GGCUGUCGUCAGCUCGUGUCGUGAGAUGUUGGGUUAAGUCCCGCAACGAGCGCAACCCUCGCCCUUAGUUGCCAUCAUUCAGUUGGGCACUCUAAGGGGACUGCCGGUGAUAAGCCGCGAGGAAGGUGGGGAUGACGUCAAGUCCUCAUGGCCCUUACAGGCUGGGCUACACACGUGCUACAAUGGCGGUGACAAUGGGAGGCAAAGGGGCGACCCCGCGCAAAUCUCAAAAAGCCGUCUCAGUUCGGAUUGCACUCUGCAACUCGAGUGCAUGAAGUUGGAAUCGCUAGUAAUCGUGGAUCAGCAUGCCACGGUGAAUACGUUCCCGGGUCUUGUACACA